UGAGUAGGAGGAUUACUGGAGCUCAGGAGUUCUAGGCUGCAGUGAGCUAUGAUCACACUAUUGCACUCCGGCCUGGGUGACAGAGCAAGACUCUGUCUCU
rnacentral:miRNA from 1 species